rnacentral:rRNA from 1 species
UACAGAGGGGGCAAGCGUUAUUCGGAAUUAUUGGGCGUAAAGGGCGCGUAGGCGGCCCUGGCAAGUGGAAGGGUGAAAAUCCCUCGGCUUAACCGAGGAACUGCCUCCCAAACUGCUUGGCUUGAGACCGGGAGAGGUGAGUGGAAUUCCCAGUGUAGCGGUGAAAUGCGUAGAUAUUGGGAGGAACACCAGUGGCGAAGGCGGCUCACUGGACCGGUACUGACGCUGAUGCGCGAAAGCGUGGGGAGCAACGGG